rnacentral:rRNA from 1 species
GACGAACGCUGGCGGCGUGCCUAAUACAUGCAAGUUGAGCGCUGAAGGUUGGUACUUGUACCAACUGGAUGAGCAGCGAACGGGUGAGUAACGCGUGGGGAAUCUGCCUUUGAGCGGGGGACAACAUUUGGAAACGAAUGCUAAUACCGCAUAAAAACUUUAAACACAAGUUUUAAGUUUGAAAGAUGCAAUUGCAUCACUCAAAGAUGAUCCCGCGUUGUAUUAGCUAGUUGGUGAGGUAAAGGCUCACCAAGGCGAUGAUACAUAGCCGACCUGAGAGGGGGGUGGGCCCAAUUUGGAAUGGGAAACCGGCCAAAAUCCUUAGGGGAGGAACAGGAGGGGAUCCUCCGCAGUAGGCCAAAAUCUGAACGGGGAAAGGCGGGUGAGUGGAGGAAGGUUUUGGAUUGGAAAAAUCCUGUGGUAGGGGAAGAACGUGGUGGGAGGGGAAAACGCAUCAAGUGACGGUAACUAACCAGAAAGGGACGGCUAACUACGUG